UUGAACGCUGGCGGAAUGCUUUACACGUGCAAGUCGAGCGGCAGCGCGGGGGCAACCCUGGCGGCGAGCGGCGAACGGGUGAGUAAUACAUCGGAACGUACCCAGUUGUGGGGGAUAGCCCGGCGAAAGCCGGAUUAAUACCGCAUAAGUCCUGAGGGAGAAAGCGGGGGACCGUAAGGCCUCGCGCGAUUGGAGCGGCCGAUGUUCGAUUAGCUAGUUGGUGGGGUAAAGGCCUACCAAGGCGACGAUCGAUAGCUGGUCUGAGAGGACGACCAGCCACACUGGAACUGAGACACGGUCCAGACUCCUACGGGAGGCAGCAGUGGGGAAUUUUGGACAAUGGGGGCAACCCUGAUCCAGCCAUUCCGCGUGAGUGAAGAAGGCCUUCGGGUUGUAAAGCUCUUUCAGCAGGAGCGAAACGGUCGUUUUUAAUACAGACGGCUAAUGACGGUACCUGCAGAAGAAGCACCGGCUAACUACGU
rnacentral:rRNA from 1 species